GAGGUACAUGACUUUCUUUUACUCAUGUUCCUCGUGUUUUAUUCACAGUUACUUUCAUUGUCCAAUGUUUCAACAUCAGGACUUAAUGGAAGUAUUAUUGAUGAUUCAGCCACAGGUGGAAAAUGUGAAACUGUAGUAUUUUCAGCGGUGGGUUCUUCAAUACCAUAAUCAAUGUGUGUUGAGACUAAUGGUGAUUCAUUUGUUGAUCCUAAAGUUAAGGCCUUAUCCGUAACUGAUAUUAUCUCAACAUCAAGUUCAGCAGUUGGGCUUUUAGUAAUCGUUGCUGUUUCGGAAAGCAAUGAGGCACUAGUAGCCUUCCGUUUAAUCCAAGUAAGUAACGAUGACUGGCUCAUCUUCAAAUGCUGAAAAAUAAAAAAUAAAGAAAAGUGUGGUAUAAGUAAAAAGAAAUCAAGUGAAUAACUAAUAUUUUAAUUACUUCAUGAAAUCAAACCGUAUAUUGUAAUAAAUACAGAGAGAUGGCACUGGCUAGCUGUUCUAUGCUGCAGUGUUCUAUUACGCUAGGGCUUUCGAGUUUCGACUUUUGACGUUUCGAGUUCGACUGAAUUGUUUUUCUUGUCGUCUGCAACUUUGCAUGCAUCUAUGUUUGUAAAGGCAGGCAGCGCCAGAGCUGGCAAUCAUUUUUUAACGAGUAUUUUUAAAAAACCGCUGCUGAGCAGCCAGUACGCCCCAGAGUGAUUUUCGAACAAGCCAGACAAGAGUAGGUUUCCCUUCUAACCUUGGUACGCUAUAGUAUUUCAAACUAUUUUUUUCUUACAUUCAUAGACAUCCAAAUUCCGUAAUUGGGUUUGGUCCCAAUUUAGAAAGAGCUAUAUAACGAGCAAGGCGUCGUCUGCAGCCGGCGAUUCCGCAUUCGUUUGAUGAAGCAGAGCGAACUAUAACAGGCUCUGAUAUGUACAGAAAAACACUCAACCAAUCAGCAGAUUUCUUUCAUGGAAGUGUGUCGACCGACUCUGGGAAUGCUUUUAUUUUCACCUCGCUGGCUCUACUGCCUGAAAUUCACACAACGAGAGAAAUCCGAUCAGAUGGAACUUUUAAAACGGUUCCCAACCUGUUUUUAUGAACUUUUCACGCUUCACGUUUUGGCGUAUGGGAAGUCUUUUCCUGUUUCAUACGCGUUGAUUUCCAACAAAACAGCUGAACUCUAUCGUAUGGCUAUCGAUCGCAUACUGCAGAUUCUUCAAGAGGUCAACCCUGGGGAUCACUUUGAAGUAGAAGUAUUAAUUUCCGACUUCAAAUUAGCAAUCAUGGGUACGAUGCAACAAGCUUUUCCAAUUGCAAGAAGCCGUGGCUGUUGGUUUCACUAUGGGCAGAGCCUACAAAGAAGGACUUCAAAGGGCCUAUAGAUCAGGUGGGGUUAUAAGGAGUAUCGUGAAGAAGCUAAUUUCCCUCGCAUUGGUACCGUCAAAUCGAGGCUACGAAGGAUUUCAG